UACGUAGGCAGCGAGCGUUGUUCGGAGUUACUGGGCGUAAAGAGUGCGUAGGCGGUUUUCUAAGUUUGGUGUGAAAUCUCCCGGCUCAACUGGGAGGGUGCGCCGAAGACUGGAAGGCUAGAGUAUGGGAGAGGUAAGCGGAAUUCCUGGUGUAGCGGUGAAAUGCGUAGAUAUCAGGAGGAACACCUGCGGUGUAGACGGCUUACUGGACCAUCACUGACGCUGAGGCACGAAAGCGUGGGUAGCAAACGGG
rnacentral:rRNA from 1 species